CGGAAUAGCCUCUGGAAACGGAGAGUAAUACCGUAUGCGCCCUUCGGGGAAAGAUUUAUCGGUGAAGGAUUAGCCCGCGUCUGAUUAGAUAGUUGGUGGGGUAACGGCCUACCAAGUCGACGAUCAGUAGCUGGUUUGAGAGGAUGAUCAGCAACACUGGGACUGAGACACGGCCCAGACUCCUACGGGAGGCAGCAGUGGGGAAUCUUAGACAAUGGGCGCAAGUGAUCUAGCCAUGCCGCGUGAGUGACGAAGGCCUUAGGGUCGUAAAGCUCUUUCGCCAGGGAUGAUAAUGACAGUACCUGGUAAAGAAACCCCGGCUAACUCCGUGCCAGCAGCCGCGGUAAUACGGAGGGGGUUAGCGUUGUUCGGAAUUACCGGGCGUAAAGCGCGCGUAGGGGAUUGGAAAGUUGGGGGUGAAAUCCCGGGGCUCAACCCCGAACUGCCUCCAAAACUAUCAGUCUAGAGUUCGAGAGAGGUGAGUGGAAUUCCAAGUGUAGAGGUGAAAUUCGUAGAUAUUUGGAGGAACACCAGUGGCGAAGGGGCUCACUGGCUCGAUACUGACGCUGAGGUGCGAAAGUGUGGGGAGCAAACAGGAUUAGAUACCCUGGUAGUCCACACCGUAAACGAUGAAUGCCAGACGUCGGGGGGCUUGCCAUUCGGGUGUCACACCUAACGGAUUAAGCAUUCCGCCUGGGGAGUACGG
rnacentral:rRNA from 1 species